GCGCGGCUGCCCGGUUCGACAGGAGUCACAUUCCCCGGGGCCUUAUCGAUCUCGAAGGGAGCUGUCCCUGGUCUCGCCCGUGGGCUUGACCAAAACGGCGCCCACCUACUUUGUAGGUUUCCCGGGAUCGUACACUCCACCGGCCAUGGCGGCCGCGCU
rnacentral:other from 2 species